rnacentral:rRNA from 1 species
UACAUGGGGUGCAAACGUUGCUCGGAAUUAUUGGGCGUAAAGCGCGCGUAGGCGGUUAUCUAAGUCGGAUGUGAAAGCCCUCGGCUUAACUGAGGAAGUGCACCCGAAACUGGAUAGCUAGAGUACGAAAGAGGGUCGCGGAAUUCCCGGUGUAGAGGUGAAAUUCGUAGAUAUCGGGAGGAACACCGGUGGCGAAGGCGGCGAUCUGGGAAGAUACUGACGCUGAGGUGCGAAAGCGUGGGGAGCAAACAGG